AUUGAACGCUGGCGGCAUGCCUUACACAUGCAAGUCGAACGGUAACGCGGGGCAACCUGGCGACGAGUGGCGAACGGGUGAGUAACGCAUCGGAACGUGCCCUGUAGUGGGGGAUAGCCCGGCGAAAGCCGGAUUAAUACCGCAUACGACCUAAGGGUGAAAGCGGGGGACCGCAAGGCCUCGCGCUAUUGGAGCGGCCGAUGUCAGAUCAGGUUGUUGGUAGGGUAAAGGCCUACCAAGCCGACGAUCUGUAGCUGGUCUGAGAGGACGACCAGCCAAACUGGGACGGGGACACGGCCCAGACUCCUACGGGAGGCAGCAGUGGGGAAUUUUGGACAAUGGGCGCAAGCCUGAUCCAGCCAUGCCGCGUGCGGGAAGAAGGCCUUCGGGUUGUAAACUGCUUUUGUACGGAGCGAAAAGGCCCUUUCUAAUACAAGGGGCUCAUGACGGUACCGUAAGAAUAAGCACCGGCUAACUACGUGCCAGCAGCCGCGGUAAGAC
rnacentral:rRNA from 1 species